UUGCGGCUGGAUCACCUCCUUUAUAGACUAAAGACAGCACCAAGCCUGUCAGACGUCCGCACAAGUGACCUGCAUUCAACAGUUCCCGGUGGCCGAAGUGGCCUCCGCGGGAGCGUCCCGUUUGCACAAUGGGGCUUUAGCUCAGCUGGGAGAGCACCUGCUUUGCAAGCAGGGGGUCGUCGGUUCGAUCCCGACAAGCUCCACCAAACCAGCCAGGCACGACUUUUGGGUCUGUAGCUCAGGUGGUUAGAGCGCACCCCUGAUAAGGGUGAGGCCGGUGGUUCGAGUCCUCCCAGACCCACCAAACCCGGUCGAACUGUUGAACUGCGCACACAUAAAGAUUUGAAACGGAUGCGGCGCUAAAGCCGGAUCCGUGUUC
rnacentral:tRNA from 1 species